rnacentral:rRNA from 1 species
UACGUAGGGGGCAAGCGUUGUCCGGAAUCAUUGGGCGUAAAGCGCGCGUAGGCGGCCCGGUAAGUCCGUUGUGAAAGUCAAAGGCUCAACCUUUGAAUGCCGAUGGAUACUGCCGGGCUCGAGUCCGGAAGAGGCGAGUGGAAUUCCUGGUGUAGCGGUGGAAUGCGCAGAUAUCAGGAGGAACACCGGUGGCGAAGGCGGGUCUCUGGGCAGUAACUGACGCUGAGGAGCGAAAGCGUGGGGAGCGAACAGG